GAUGAACGCUGGCGGCGUGCCUAAUACAUGCAAGUCGAGCGAACGGACGAGAAGCUUGCUUCUCUGAUGUUAGCGGCGGACGGGUGAGUAACACGUGGAUAACCUACCUAUAAGACUGGGAUAACUUCGGGAAACCGGAGCUAAUACCGGAUAAUAUUUUGAACCGCAUGGUUCAAAAGUGAAAGACGGUCUUGCUGUCACUUAUAGAUGGAUCCGCGCUGCAUUAGCUAGUUGGUAAGGUAACGGCUUACCAAGGCAACGAUGCAUAGCCGACCUGAGAGGGUGAUCGGCCACACUGGAACUGAGACACGGUCCAGACUCCGACGGGAGGCAGCAGUAGGGAAUCUUCCGCAAUGGGCGAAAGCCUGACGGAGCAACGCCGCGUGAGUGAUGAAGGUCUUCGGAUCGUAAAACUCUGUUAUUAGGGAAGAACAUAUGUGUAAGUAACUGUGCACAUCUGGACGGUACCUAAUCAGAAAGCCACGGCUAACUACGU
rnacentral:rRNA from 1 species